AGCGAACGCUGGCGGCAGGCUUAACACAUGCAAGUCGAGCGGGCAUCUUCGGAUGUCAGCGGCAGACGGGUGAGUAACACGUGGGAACGUACCCUUCGGUUCGGAACAACUCUGGGAAACUGGCGCUAAUACCGGAUACGCCCUUAUGGGGAAAGGUUUACUGCCGAAGGAUCGGCCCGCGUCUGAUUAGCUAGUUGGUGGGGUAACGGCCUACCAAGGCGACGAUCAGUAGCUGGUCUGAGAGGAUGAUCAGCCACACUGGGACUGAGACACGGCCCAGACUCCUACGGGAGGCAGCAGUGGGGAAUAUUGGACAAUGGGCGCAAGCCUGAUCCAGCCAUGCCGCGUGAGUGAUGAAGGCCUUAGGGUUGUAAAGCUCUUUUGUCCGGGACGAUAAUGACGGUACCGGAAGAAUAAGCCCCGGCUAACUUCGUG
rnacentral:rRNA from 1 species